UUGGAGGGCAAGUCUGGUGCCAGCAGCCGCGGUAAUUCCAGCUCCAAUAGCGUAUAUUAAGUUGUUGCAGUUAAAAAGCUCGUAGUUGAAUUUCGGGAUUAGUACGCUGGUCGUGCCUUCGGUACGUACUGGUGUUACUGAUUCCUACCUUCUGACGAACCAUCAUGUCAUUUAUUUGGUGUGGUGGGGAAUCAGGACUGUUACUUUGAAAAAAUUAGAGUGUUUAAAGCAGGCUCGCGCUUGAAUACAUUAGCAUGGAAUAAUGAAAUAGGACGUUGAUCCUAUUUUGUUGGUUUCUAGGAUUGACGUAAUGAUUAAUAGGGAUAGUUGGGGGCAUUAGUAUUCAAUUGUCAGAGGUGAAAUUCUUGGAUUUAUUGAAGACUAACUACUGCGAAAGCAUUUGCCAAGGAUGUUUUCAUUAAUCAAGAACGAAAGUUAGGGGAUCGAAGACGAUCAGAUACCGUCGUAGUCUUAACCAUAAACUAUGCCGACUAGGGAUCGGAUGAUGUUAUUUUUAAUGACUCAUUCGGCGCCUUACGGGAAAC
rnacentral:rRNA from 1 species